rnacentral:rRNA from 1 species
GACGAACGCUGGCGGCGUGCUUAACACAUGCAAGUCGAGCGAGGUCCAUCCAGUGGCAACACUGGUGAAGACCUAGCGGCGAACGGGUGAGUAACACGUGAGCAAUCUGCCCCGAAGACUGGGAGUAACACCGGGAAACCGGUAGCUAAUACCGGAUGUCCUCCUCUGGUCGCAUGGCCUAGGGAGGAAAUGGAUUCCGCUUCGGGAGGGAGCUCGCGGGCUAUCAGCUUGUUGGUGAGGUAACGGCUCACCAAGGCGACGACGGCUAGCUGGUC